UAAUCAAUAAUAGAUGGAAAAAUUUUGGAUAAAGAAAARAAUAAAGAUUUUCAUUCAACUCGUUUCCUGAACCUCAAUUUCUGACACGAAGAGGAAAAGUAAUUCACUGCUCCACCUUCACUGCUGUGCUUAGCAGAGACCAAGGACAAAUGGCAGAAAAACCUGGAGUGUUUUGCUGCAGAUUGGGAGUAGCCACUAGGAGGGGCUGACUGCCUUGAAGAGAAGGUACAACCAAGCACUGUCCAGGYGUGGRGCCCCACAUAAGARGGAUGUGGAUCUGUUGAAGUGAGUCCAGAGGAGGGCCAUGAAGAUGAUGRGACAACUGAAGCUCCUCUCCUGUGAAGACAAGCUGAGAGAGUUGGAGUUGUUCAGCCUGGUGAAGAGAAGRGCCUGGCACCUUCKGGUGCCUAAAGAGGGUCUACAAGAAAGCUGGAGAGAUCAGAGUUCCAAUAUGGCCAUGCUCUUGAAAGGGAAGCACCUAAUACACAGCUCAUUUAUCAAGGCAAAAGUGUUUAACUAUGACCUUAAGCACAUGCUGCUGCUUGUUAGUUUAACUGAAGCUACACAAACAUGAUAAAAGGUAUGAUCCCCUGAAGAUGGUGGCAGGUUUCUCCUGUGGUUUAAGGGCUCACCUGGGACUCAGAAGAGAAAGGUUCAAUGUCCUGCUGUGCUACAGACUCCUGGAGUGGGCAAUGUGAUAUUCGUUUCAGCAUCUCRGACAA